AGGUCAAGUGAAGAAGGGCGCACGGUGAAUGCCUUGGCACUGGAAGCCGAUGAAGGACGCGACUAACCGCGAAAGUCUUCGGGGAGCCGUAAGUAGGCUUUGAUCCGGAGGUCUCCGAAUGGGGGAACCCAGCAUGUGCAGACAUGCUAUCCUUAAGUGAAUACAUAGCUUAAGGAGGGAACACGCAGUGAACUGAAACAUCUAAGUAGCUGCAGGAAGAGAAAGAAAUAUCGAUUUCCCAAGUAGCGGCGAGCGAACAGGAAAGAGCCCAAACCGGCAGAUUUAUCUGCCGGGGUUGUAGGACUGAGACAUGGCACUUCAGAGGAUAGCAGAAGCGUUUGGGAAAGCGCGCCAGAGAGGGUGAGAGCCCCGUAAGCGAAAUCCAAAGAAGGCCUAUCAGUAUCCUGAGUAGGGCGGGACACGUGAAAUCCCGUUUGAAUCCGCGAGGACCAUCUCGCAAGGCUAAAUACUAACCAGUGACCGAUAGUGAACCAGUACCGUGAGGGAAAGGUGAAAAGAACCCCGGGAGGGGAGUGAAAGAGAACCUGAAACCGUGUGCCUACAAGUAGUCAGAGCCCGUUAACGGGUAAUGGCGUGCCUUUUGUAGAAUGAACCGGCGAGUUGCGUUAGUCAGCAAGGUUAAGUCAGAAAAGACGGAGCCGUAGCGAAAGCGAGUCUGAAGAGGGCGAGCAGUUGGCUGACGCAGACCCGAAACCAAGUGACCUACCCAUGACCAGGUUGAAGGCGCGGUAAAACGCGCUGGAGGACCGAACCCACGUAAGUUGAAAAUUGCGGGGAUGAGUUGUGGGUAGCGGUGAAAUUCCAAACGAACUUGGAGAUAGCUGGUUCUCUCCGAAAUAGCUUUAGGGCUAGCCUCGCAAAGAGGAUGCUGGAGGUAGAGCUCUGUUUGGACUAGGGGCCCGUCAAGGGUUACUGAAUUCAGAUAAACUGCGAAUUCCAGACAUUUAUGUGCGGGAGUCAGACUGCGAGUGAUAAGAUCCGUAGUCGAAAGGGAAACAGCCCAGAUCACCAGUUAAGGUCCCAAAAUUCAUGCUAAGUGGAAAAGGAUGUGGAGUUGCGCAGACAACUAGGACGUUGGCUCAGAAGCAGCCAUCAUUCAAAGAGUGCGUAAUAGCUCACUAGUCGAGUGACGCCGCGCCGAAAAUUUACCGGGGCUAAGCAUGAUACCGAAACUGUGGAUGUGCGUUUAUGCACGUGGUAGGAGAGCGUUCUAGCGGCGGUGAAGCAUGACCGAGAGGACAUGUGGAGCUUCUAGAAGUGAGAAUGCCGGUAUGAGUAACGAAAGACAGGUGAGAAUCCUGUCCGCCGCAAGACUAAGGUUUCCUGGGGCAGGCUCGUCCGCCCAGGGUAAGUCGGGACCUAAGGCGAGGCCGAGAGGCGUAGUCGAUGGACAACAGGUUGAAAUUCCUGUACUGCACCGAAUCGUUAUGAGCGAUGGAGGGACGCAGGAGGCUAGCAGCGCGUGGUGCUGGAUACCACGUUCAAGCGUCAAGUCUGAGAG
rnacentral:rRNA from 1 species